GUUUACAUCCCGGUCGCGAAGAGGGCACGCUUAGGAAUAUGUGAGAUUUUGUACAUGAGUGUUUUAGGAUAUUUGCACUGACCGGCAUACAGUUGUAUAGCCAAGAUAAUCGCCCACAGACACUUUUCAAACCUGGACCGACCUUUUCUGCAAAUGUUGUUAGGAUAAGUUCGAAAAAGCCUCUUCAACUUUCCCUUUCACUCACAGGCGCUAUGUUAUCGGGGAGGAAGAUGGGAAAUUCAAUCUAUCAUUGCUUCCCUCCAGGAUGCAUAAGUGUCAACAAGAGAAAGUUACAGACCCAGAAAUUCAAUCUGUUUCUGACAUAAAGGAGGGUCAAAUUCUCAAAGAUAUGUCAAGUAUGUUGGGGAUAAAGGCAUAUUUGUGAGUUUAACAUGGACCAUAGCAGGACGAGUUCUGUUACAGAAUGCAACAACAUUUUUCAAGAAUGACCCAAAAUGAUUUCCAAACAUAUCAGUGAGAAUGCUUUGGUGACAGCCAAGGUUUUCAGGUAUGAAUGGUACAAUUAAUGAAUAAGGGUUGUGGACUUUUUAGUUUAACAUUUUUAUGUACAAGGAAAAAGUGCAGAUUUCUAGAUGCUGUUGAGUUUUUAAAUCCCUGCUACAAGUUUCACAUCGUUUUCGUAAUCGUACAAGUUUCACACCAUUUUAAAAUCCAUACUAGAGGUUUUAAAAAACUAGCAAAGUGCGCAGAGCUCGCCAUUCACAUGUCCGACCCUUUUGUCCUCACUAACUGCAUGUGGGAAAUUGACAGAAUCUUAAAAGUCAUGGAAAAGUAAUGAUAAUGUCUAUUGUAAAUUGGCUGUUUUGUAGGUUUGACUUGCUCGGAAGUUGUAGUGAUGUCUGAUUUUUUAGAUCAUUGUUCCUGCAUGUGUUCUUUUCAAUGAAUUGGUCGAAACAGUUCACAAAUGAGUCUGAAGAAUUCAUUAGUAAAUCAGUCUGAAUCAAAAUGAUUUUAAAAAGGAAUAGUUCAACCCAAAAUGAAAAUUCUAUUAUAUUUACUCACCCUCAUCCCAUCUCAGAUGUGUAUGACUUUCUUUAUUCUGCUGAACACAGACAAAGAUUUUUAGAAGAAUAUCACAGCUCUGUAGGUCCAUACAAUGAAAGUGAAUGGUGACCAGACCUUUGUAGCUCCACAUGUGACUUUCAGAUGUAAAAGUUAAAAGUGAGAUUUAGAGUAAAAUAUGUAUUAUUAUUUUGAUUUGUUUCUCACCCACACCUCUUAUAUUGCUUCUGAAGAUAUGGAUUUACUCACUGGAAUCAUAUGGAUUCAUUUUAUGUUUCUUCUAUUUGAUUUUUGGAGCUACUAAUGUCUGAUCAACAUUAACAUGCAUUGUAUGGACCUACAGAGC